AUUGUGUCGGUGCGUACCGCUGACGUUGUCAGCACCAUGCCAAUGUAGCUUGGAUCCGGGAAGCUACGAUGCGCCAUUGCGCAUUGAUCCACUCCCCAGGUCGCAACGCUUCCGGUAGCGCGACCGAUCGACUGCUGUCGAUGGAAGC
rfam:Pseudomonas batumici strain TCM B-321 Contig_111, whole genome shotgun sequence.